rnacentral:rRNA from 1 species
GACGAACGCUGGCGGCGUGCUUAACACAUGCAAGUCGAACGGUGAAAGCGGAGCUUGCUCCGCUGGAUCAGUGGCGAACGGGUGAGUAACACGUGGGCAACCUGCCCCUGACUUCGGGAUAACUCCUCGAAAGAGGUGCUAAUACCGGAUACGAAUCCUGCAGGCAUCUGCGGGAUUGGAAAGUUUUUCGGUCAGGGAUGGGCCCGCGGCCUAUCAGCUUGUUGGUGAGGUAGUGGCUCACCAAGGCGACGACGGGUAGCCGGCCUGAGAGGGCGACCGGGCACACUGGGACUGGGACGCGGCCCAGACUCCUACGGGAGGCAGCAGUGGGGAAUAUUGCGCAAUGGGCGAAAGACUGACGCAGCAACGCCGCGUGAGGGAUGACGGCCAUCGGGUUGUAAACCUCUUUCAGCAGGGAAGAAGCGAAAGUGACGGUACCUGCAGAAGAAGCACCGGCUAACUACGUGCCAGCAGCCGCGGUAA